rnacentral:rRNA from 1 species
UACGAAGGGGGCUAGCGUUGCUCGGAAUUACUGGGCGUAAAGGGCGCGUAGGCGGAUAGUUCAGUCGGGGGUGAAAGCCCGGGGCUCAACCUCGGAACUGCCUUCGAUACUGGCUAUCUUGAGUACGGGAGAGGUGUGUGGAACUCCGAGUGUAGAGGUGAAAUUCGUAGAUAUUCGGAAGAACACCAGUGGCGAAGGCGGCUCACUGGCCCGGUACUGACGCUGAGGUGCGAAAGCGUGGGGAGCAAACAGG